rnacentral:ncRNA from 1 species
CACUCUGGAAAGUGGCCGUGGCGACAGCCUGCGGCUCACCGAAGGUGUAAGCCGUCUCGGCGGUGACACUCUCAGGUUCCACGACAGAGCGGGGA